GUUGCUUCCUAAUGGUGAUCUCCCUGUAAUGAAAAGAUGAGGGAUGAUUCAAGUUUCCGAAGCAUAGAUUUCAGUCAGUGUUAAACAGCGCCAGCGUUAUGAUUCAUGUUGCGCUGGUGCUACCUGUCUGCUGAUAUAUUA